ACGAAGAAGGCUAGGUGAGCCAGGCGUUGGUUGUCCUGGUGAAAGUGAGUAGGCUUAGGGUUUAGGUAAAUCCGGACCCUUUUAAGGCCGAGACACGAAACGAACUGACCACGGUCAGGAAGUCACUGAUGCCACGCUUCCAGGAAAAGCCUCUAAGCUUCAGAUCAUGUGCGACCGUACCCCAAACCGACACAGGUGGUCAGGGUGAGAAUCCCAAGGCGCUUGAGAGAACUCGGGUGAAGGAACUAGGCAAAAUGGUGCCGUAACUUCGGGAGAAGGCACGCCGGCGUAGGGUGAUGAGACUUGCUCUCUAAGCCCGAACCGGUCGAAGAUACCAGGUGGCUGCAACUGUUUAUUAAAAACACAGCACUCUGCUAACGCGCAAGCGGACGUAUAGGGUGUGACGCCUGCCCGGUGCCGGAAGGUUAAAUGAUGGUGUUAGCCGCAAGGCGAAGCUCUUGAUUGAAGCCCCGGUAAACGGCGGCCGUAACUAUAACGGUCCUAAGGUAGCGAAAUUCCUUGUCGGGUAAGUUCCGACCUGCACGAAUGGCGUAAUGAUGGCCACGCUGUCUCCACCCGAGACUCAGUGAAAUUGAAAUCGCCGUGAAGAUGCGGUGUACCCGCGGCUAGACGGAAAGACCCCGUGAACCUUUACUAUAGCUUCACACUGGACGCUGAUGUUGCCUGUGUAGGAUAGCUGGGAGGCUUUGAACUCCGGACGCCAGUUCGGAGGGAGCCAACCUUGAAAUACCAGCCUGGCAUCAUUGGCGUUCUCACUCAGGUCCGUUAUCCGGAUCGAGGACAGUGUGUGGUGGGUAGUUUGACUGGGGCGGUCUCCUCCUAAAGAGUAACGGAGGAGCACGAAGGUACCCUCAGCACGGUCGGACAUCGUGCAUUGAGUGCAAGAGCAUAAGGGUGCUUGACUGCGAGACAGACACGUCGAGCAGGUGCGAAAGCAGGUUCUAGUGAUCCGGUGGUUCUGUAUGGAAGGGCCAUCGCUCAACGGAUAAAAGGUACU
rnacentral:rRNA from 1 species